rnacentral:rRNA from 1 species
GAUGAACGCUGGCGGCGUGCCUAAUACAUGCAAGUCGAGCGAACGGACGAGAAGCUUGCUUCUCUGAUGUUAGCGGCGGACGGGUGAGUAACACGUGGAUAACCUACCUAUAAGACUGGGAUAACUUCGGGAAACCGUAGCUAAUACCGGAUAUUAUUUUGAACCGCAUGUUUCAAAAGUGAAAGACGGUCUUGCUGUCACUAAUAGAUGAAUCCGCGCUGCAUUAGCUAGUUGGUAAGGUAACGGCUUACCAAGGCAACGAUGCAUAGCCGACCUGAGAGGGUGAUCGGCCACACUGGAACUGAGACACGGUCCAGACUCCUACGGGAGGCAGCAGUAGGGAAUCUUCCGCAAUGGGCGAAAGCCUGACGGAGCAACGCCGCGUGAGUGAUGAAGGUCUUCGGAUCGUAAAACUCUGUUAUUAGGGAAGAACAUAUGUGUAAGUAACUGUGCACAUCUUGACGGUACCUAAUCAGAAAGCCACGGCUAACUACGUG